ensembl:lncRNA
CUAUUGUGGCCACUCUCCGGGCUCCGUCCUGCAUCACUGUUAACCAAGCAUGCUGCAAGGCACUAAUCCCUAAUCCAACACAAGUAUACGGACCUCUCUUGACUCCGCAGCUUGGUACUGAAGAGCAGGGAGGGCUGAAGAAAAGGAGAAAGCCAUUUCUUGAAGUAAGGAACAGGAUACUCAACAGUCCCCCAGCACCAGUGGACAAGUGGCACAGCUCUAACAUGACAUGAUUUGUAAAACACAAAGCUCUCCAUCUACCCACUGCUUUCAGAGCCUAUGCUCAGAGAUGUCUCACCUUGUGGCUAUGUCUUCCAAGCUACUGGAGGAAGAAGGAUUGGAAGGGGAUCCUGAGCUGGCAUUUGACCAACUCAUCUUUCGUCCCCAUCAAUUCUGCUCUGGAGGAAGGGACAUGUACAGACAAAGACCUGCAGUAGUUUUACCCAUCUGUAUCUGUGUCGAAAACCAGCUGCCCGGUGAAAACUAGUCCAGAUUUACCUUUAUCUAUUCCAAACGGAGUGACAAUAACUCUUGACUUUAUGUCAUUUGCUGGAUCAUUAGAACGUGAUGUAGCAUCAGCAACUGUUCCAGAGGAGCCCUGGCUUGGAAGAAACAGAAUAUUCUUGUCUCAGUCAAUGGCAAUAAAAGGGUGCUUAGCACCUUUCAGGAGAUGCUGAGUGUCUCUCCCAGGCCCAAGUCCAGAGAUAGCAUUCCCAAAGGACAGAUACAAGGAUAUUAAAAAGGACUUUGAUCAAAGAAAUAUUGCUUCUUUCCUCCUUUCACUAAGCAGAUGUGCAACGUGUCUUGGGAAAGAAAUAGAAAAAUUCCUGAGUGAUUUAUUUGAUGAACCUACUUUUAACCCAGGUUAUUGCAUGCCUGAUAUGGUGAUGCUGGUUAUUAGUUUUCAGUUGAAAAUGACCAGAUAGAGGACAUAUUCACUUCAUCAAUAUAAUACAUUUAUUGGUUGUCAAGAGAGUCACAUCACACAGAUAUGUAAAUCUGUCACUUUGUCUUAAAAGUGUAUUUCUCUAUUACAAUGUUGCUUGAUGUAUGUUUUAAGGCAGUAAGGCCUUUUAAAUAUUAAAAAAAAGACAAGGGGGAAGAUUUGUCUUUUCAAUCACAGGAUUUAAGACAUUAAAAGCAGAUGCAUCAUUUAUAAAAGUAGGAUUUUAUCAAAUGCCAUUGUAAAUGAAAGAAUCAUAUCUACCAUAUGUAGAUAUGUGAAUUAAAGAAACCUUCUUUCCCAGGAAAAUUAACAAACUGUUUUGCUAGCAUUAAGAUGGAUUAGUCUUUGAAGCCAGUUACCAGUUGACCACAAAUCUCAAUUUGCCAUGUCAAAACUAAAAUAUAAUAGACCCUUUGUUUACAUUUUAUACAAAAUAAAUGCUUUUAUUUCUGUUUAUGUGCCCACGGAAGUAAUCCUACCUUCAAAAAAAUGCACUGAAAAUUGGAACAAAGAAGUUUAGUUGUAGUUUAACUCAUUCUUUACCAUUAAAAGAAAGAAAUGUCAAUAACAAUAAAUAUUAAAAAUAACAAGAAACUCACCGAUCUCUCCUCACAAUCUGCAAAACUGGCUUUCUGAAUUAUCAUAGCAUGGUAUGCUUCAAAACAAAAAAUAGCACCUUGCAUUAUGGGGUAUCGUGGUGCUAAUCAUGGCACUAAUGCUGCAAUGAUGAUGUGUUCCUAGCAACACUCCCUGCUCUUGAUGGAGUAAGACCAGGUUGCCUGGUCUGAAAUACUGAAAUACUGGAGAGUAUUUUUUAAUGUUGUCCAUAUUUUUGUGUAAUGGGAUGGAGCAGUAUGGUGCACCACUUCAGUUGGCAUGAAGUCUGUCAAUGGUUACAGGAAGAUUUGUAUCAGGCUCUUGAGGAAGUACCUUGAGACAAUGGUAUUGCUGUUGCUAGGAAUGAUAUUUAAUGGAAACAAAUAUGAAUUAUUUUGAUAAUGCAAUAAUAAGUGAGUUAUUGCAUAACUACCUUGGUACAAACCCAAAGGAACUGCAGGAUUAAAUAUGAGAAUUGUAUCUGUUGACAAAUUCAGCAUAUACUCCAUAUGUAAAUCUUACACUGAAUUUAAUAGUUCUAUGUUAGCAGUGCCUCUCAAACUGGGUGCUGUAUCAUCAUGAUUAAAACUUGUGGUAAUUUACCCAUUGGGUGUUCUUGCUGAAGAGGGUGUUGCUAGUACAGAGGAGAACAUGAUAAUUAAUUUGUAUGCAAUCAAUUUAAAAUAAACUAAGGUAAGCAUGAGAGGGGGAAUUACAAAGCAUGUCAGAAAGGAAAUAAAAAGAAGGAUGUAGCAAACCACAUAAUUAAUGUAGAGAAUUUUAACCUCAUUUGUUGAGAGGUGAUAGAAACCGGACUGGAAGGGGGAGAUGUGUCAGCCUAGUCUAAGGUGUUCUAACCUAAAAUUUUAAUGUAGUCUGAGACAGAGAUUUGAACCAGAUUAAAAAUGUGGGAUUCUAGCCUCUCCCAGUAAAAUGUGGUGAUAUCUGUUGAUAUUCAGAUCUUUGGUUCCAGUUCAUCUCCAGUGAGUGCUCACCUCAGCCUAACAUAAAAAAAGAAACCUCCAGUUCAUCAAGUCACACUGAAGAGUGCGUGUCAUAACAGACCACUGCUUUGUAAACCAUGAUUCAUUGCCAUGGAAAAAGAAUGCUAAGACUGAGAAGAUCAAGCAAAGUUGAUCUCAGCCUGAGCAGUUUCACUCUUUCCAAGGUGCUUAGCUGGCUGCCAGGGCUCCCUAUCGCUUCAGUGAACAGAACGCCAACUUUGGGAAGGAGAAGAUGCAAUCAUAAAAUUGAUUUGCCGAUUUUGUAUGCUAGGAGAAGCUGCUGUACAGUGAAAGAUAACUGAUGACUAACGCUUCUUAAGUUCUCCUCAGAAAACUGUAAGACUGUGUAUGAAAGCACAGAGUACACUGAGAUAGGGCUUCCAGGUGGCACGAAUUUGGAACGGUGAUGCAUUCAGAUGGAUUGAAGUCAACAGUGAAUCUAAAUGUAAUGAUGCUGAGGAUGCCAUAGGGCACUGGAGUUCUUCAUGGUGCCUGUGCUUCAUUCAUUGCAAAGAAUAUUAUUUAUUUCCUUUUAGGAUUUAAAAGACCCCACAUCGUUGAGAGUGUUUUUAUGUCUGUUUUCCUGUUCUCCUGGCUUCAGUUGCAAAGAUAGAGUUUUCUGGGCUCAGGGCCCAUUAAAAUGGUCAAGAGGAGUUAUUAAAGACCUUCAAAAUUGAGGUGGAAGAAUGGAAGUGUUUUGGUAUUGUUUGAAAAAAUGUUAACAGAGGUUUCUGCAUUGGAAUAAAAAUAGUUGCUGAUACCCUAUUUUUUUUUUCUCACACAGCUGUACUGCUGUUUUCCAUCCAAAACUACCCAAGGCUCUGGAUGUUUUAGGUACAGCUUUAGGUAUGGGCAGGUUUACCCUGGAUCUUUCCACCCUGAAGAGAUUUCUGAAAAUUCCAGUGCUGUUUGGCUGCAGCAUCCUGGCAGCCGCCACACAAUCUCUCCCCCUUCCCUCUUCUGGGAAUUCAUUUGGUUUGUGCAGUAACCCCACUGCUGGCCCCGGACUGUGCCAUUCCCUGCAGGGCUGCCUGGAUGGAGUGGGAGAUGGGGCUCUGCUGGGACCAGGGAGCAAUUUGGUACUCAUGUGGCACACAGCGAAUUCUGUCCCCCUGGCACCUCUCUCUUUCCACCUUGUCUACCCAGAGCCCACCACCACUGGCGCAUUACCUGCUGCCUUAGUCCUUGGUCUUUUCCCUCCUCCUUCUGCCUCCCAGUGCCCUGGUUUUCCCCUGGCUCCCACACCUAUGUACAUACGUCUGCCUGCACGUACUGUGCAGAGUAGUAGUAGUAGCUUUUAUUACCCUCAGUUCUUUAUUAAUGCCACAUGUGCUGUUGUAAGGUUAAGUUAUUAAGUGAUAUCCAAUAAUUGUCUCUGCUCUAAAGUGGACAUUUCAUUUAACUAUACUCAUGCGGAUCUGUUUCAGUGCCAUUUAUCACGACCGCAUUUUAAGAAACAUUUCAAUAGGCCAUUUCUCCUUUUCCUUUCUUUAACGCAAAUAGACCUAAAAGGUCCUGGUCAAAAAUUAAAUACAAUUACCUUUGGAACAGCGUAAGGGAGUGUGAGGUUUGUAUGUGCUUUGGAAGUUAAAUUUAUAUUUUACAGGGCUAUCAUCUUGGCUGCAGAGUUAAUUUUACUGUAUUUGUGCACUUGCUGGAAACGCUUACACGAAGGCAUACAAUGACCUGUUUAGUUUGCAGGAGAAAAUUAUGUCAUUUGCAAGCAAGCUUUCAGCUGUGAUAUUUUAUAAUUGUUUAGAUGAAAACCUGAUAAUCCUCUACUCCUUCACAUAAACUGCAAUCCAUCUUUAAAACUGUGAUAAUUCAUAAAACCUGCAGCUUAAUAAACUAACAAACCCCAGGCCUAUGUUAUUUUAAGGGAAGUCAAUCUUUGAUCAGUCAAGCUGAAAUGGGUCUGAUAAGUGGCGGCCUUCCUCACAGGGAGCAGCACUCCAGUUUGUUAUUGCUAUUUGCUCAUCAUCCUCGAGUGCAAAAUAAGCAGAAGUCUUUCCGAGCUCCUUAUCUCUUUUCACUUUCUUCUCUAGAUCUCUGUCGCUUUAAUCCAGCAUGUCUGCUGCUGGUUAACAAGGAAAUCCUGUGUCAAUUAUCGCCAACAACUUCCUGCUGUGAAGCUGUGGGGAAUCAAAGCUUUUGAGAGCCUUUUUCACACCAGAGAGUAGUGCAGGGCCUAAUUAAAUGGCCCUCAUAUCCUGCAGCCUACUGGUGGCCAAAUGAUAGAGAGCUAAUGAACGCUAACCUAAUUUUUGCAGGAAUUGUUUUGAUUCUUCUGGUCAGCGGUGCUUAUUGACCAAACCUGGGGCUGAGUGGGG